AUGGUUCAAGAAAGGUGUACUGAAAUAAAAUCAUAAACUAUUCUUUAUAUCUCGCGAAAUCAUGAAAUUCCUAAGUCGUCUGAUGACGUGUCGAGGCUGACUACGUCACAUCGACGCUUGCAGCUGUGAUCAGAAUAAACAUGUGGACUUCAGUGAUAUAUCUCGGAAUUUAACUCGUUUACAACCAGCGUGGACAGAAAUCGGCAUAGGAUUCAACUGAACAAGGGUUACUUAGGCAGUAGAUGGUCCACUGAAAACACUUAAUUCUUGGGAUGUUGAUAAAAAGUAUUGGUUUUCUUAUCAACUGGACUACCUCCUAAUAUCAAAAAGACAGAAGAGAAGAACAUGUAGUGUGCAAGAAGAAUUGUCAAUUUCCAUAAAUUACACAUUAUGACAGAAA